ensembl:lncRNA
GUGCACUGCUUAGGCACCCUAUUCCCUAUAUACAGUAUAGUGCACUACUUAGGCACCCUAUUCCCUAUAUACAGUAUAGUGCACUACUUAGGCACCCUAUUCCAUAUAUACAGUAUAGUGCACUGCUUAGGCACCCUAUUCCCCAUAUACAGUAUAGUGCACUACUUAGGCACCCUAUUCCAUAUAUACAGUACACUACUUAGGCACCCUAUUCCCUAUAUACAGUGCACUACUUAGGCACCCUAUUCCCUAUAUACAGUAUAGUGCACUACUUAGGCACCCUAUUCCCUAUAUACAGUAUAGUGCACUACUUAGGCACCCUAUUCCCUAUAUAAAGUAUAGUACACUGCUUAGGCACCCUAUUCACUAUAUACAGUAUAGUGCACUACUUAGGCACCCUAUUCCCUAUAUACAGUAUAGUACACUGCUUAGGCACCCUAUUCCCCAUAUACAGUAUAGUGCA